ensembl:lncRNA
GGUGCUGCCCACAAAGCUAUGACUGACAUCUGUACCGACUCGUGACAGGUUUUCUACAUUGUCAGAUUACACUUAGUCUAUUCAGACCAAUAAUUUCAUGGCCAGUGUUAGAAGAGCAUAAUAUCCUUGUAAUUUGAAUGAAGAAGCUUUCAGCUGGUGGCAGCCAGCAGUCCACUGUAAUUUCACCUGCUAAAGGUCUUGCCUGUACUGCAGCGUGGCUCCCUUGAGGAGGUUCUCCAUAGCAACCGGCCUUUGUAACUCGCAGACAUGUAACAGUUCACAAUGAGAGCAAAUGAGGAAUAUUCAAACAGCAACACAAGGCCGGCGACAGCUCGCCGUUAUCUGAUGUUCACUCUCCGAGUAAAACUCCCGUUAGUGUGACUGAAUCAGAGCGCUGUGAACUGCUAUAACACUCAUGGAUCCGAGACCAGUGUUUUAUUUAGCACAAGAUCAGUGAUGGACGGACAGACUCCAGCAAGACAGAUGGGCAGAUGUGGCUUCACAGCAGAUGAAUUCAUCUGAUGAACCUGUCCACAGCAGCAUUUGUCUACAUUGACUAUAGGCUCUGCCUUGUAACAAAUUUGUUUGCACCAGAAAUGCAGCCUUUGACUUCAACAGGAAAAAAAUGGAGAGCAUCCUCCACUGUUAAAGCUAGUUGAAGGAGACAAAUGAGGAGAUUCGCAGCCCACCUGAAGCCCUGGAGAACGCUGCCCGAGCAGGCAUGCCAGC